rnacentral:rRNA from 1 species
UGAGGAAUAUUGGUCAAUGGGCGGGAGCCUGAACCAGCCAAGUCGCGUGAGGGAAGACGGUCUUACGGAUUGUAAACCUCUUUUGCCGGGGAGCAAAGGGCGCCACGCGUGGCGUUUCGAGAGUACCCGGAGAAAAAGCAUCGGCUAACUCCGUGCC